rnacentral:rRNA from 1 species
GACGAACGCUGGCGGCGUGCCUAAUACAUGCAAGUCGAGCGCAGGAAAUCGACGGAACCCUUCGGGGGGAAGUCGACGGAAUGAGCGGCGGACGGGUGAGUAACACGUAAAGAACCUGCCCUCAGGUCUGGGAUAACCACGAGAAAUCGGGGCUAAUACCGGAUGGGUCAUCGGACCGCAUGGUCCGAGGAUGAAAGGCGCUUCGGCGUCGCCUGGGGAUGGCUUUGCGGCGCAUUAGCUAGUUGGUGGGGUAAUGGCCCACCAAGGCGACGAUGCAUAGCCGACCUGCGAGGGGGAGCGGCCACACGGGGACUGAGACACGGCCCAGACUCCUACGGGAGGCAGCAGUAGGGAAUCGUCCACAAUGGACGAAAGUCUGAUGGAGCAACGCCGCGUGAACGAUGAAGGCCUUCGGGUCGUAAAGUUCUGUUGUAAGGGAAGAACAAGUGCCGCAGGCAAUGGCGGCACCUUGACGGUAACACAUGAAUAAGGAUCGGCUAACUACGUGCCAGCCGCCGCAGUAA